GCCUUCGUGGGGUAGUGGUCAGCACGCUCCAUGCGUAUUCGAGAGGUCCGUGGUUCGAGUCCCGGCGAGGGCA
rfam:Stegodyphus mimosarum contig127099, whole genome shotgun sequence.